AGCCCAUUGGCGCAAUGGUAGCGCGUUCGCCUCCUAUCUAGGAUCUAGCGAAAGGCUGUGGGUUCGAGUCCCAUGUGGGUUG